rnacentral:rRNA from 1 species
UAUUGCACAAUGGGGGGAACCCUGAUGCAGCGACGCCGCGUGAGGGAAGAAGGUUUUUGGAUUGUAAACCUCUGUCCUUGGUAAAGAAGCAAGACGGUAGCCAAGGAGGAAGCCACGGCUAACUACGUGCCAGCAGCCGCGGUAAUACGUAGGUGGCAAGCGUUGUCCGGAAUUACUGGGUGUAAAGGGAGCGUAGGCGGUUAUGCAAGUUGAAUGUGAAAUCUAUCGGCUCAACUGAUAGGCUGCGUUCAAAACUGUAUAUCUUGAGUGAAGUAGAGGCAGGCGGAAUUCCUAGUGUAGCGGUGAAAUGCGUAGAUAUCAGGAGGAAUACCGUUAGCGAAGGCGGCAAUCUGGCUGGAAACUGACGCUGAGGUGCGAAAGCGUGGGUAGCAAACAG